rnacentral:rRNA from 1 species
GCGGAGGAAAAGAAACUAACAAGGAUUCCCCUAGUAACGGCGAGUGAAGCGGGAAGAGCUCAAAUUUGAAAUCUGGCAGUCUUCGAUUGUCCGAGUUGUAAUCUAUAGAGGCGUUUUCCGUGCCGGACCGUGUCCAAGUCUCCUGGAAAGGAGUAUCAAAGAGGGUGAUAAUCCCGUACUUAACACGACCACCGGUGCUCUGUGAUACGUCUUCUACGAGUCGAGUUGUUUGGGAAUGCAGCUCAAAAUGGGUGGUGAAUUCCAUCUAAAGCUAAAUAUUGGCGAGAGACCGAUAGCGAACAAGUACCGUGAGGGAAAGAUGAAAAGCACUUUGGAAAGAGAGUUAAACAGUACGUGAAAUUGUUGAAAGGGAAACGAUUGAAGUCAGUCGUGUUCUUUGGAUUCAGCCAGUUCUGCUGGUCUACUUCCUUGGAACGGGUCAACAUCAGUUUUGUCCGGUGGAUAAAGGUAGUAGGAAUGUGACUUCUCCGGAAGUGUUAUAGCCUAUUAUCACAUACACUGGGUGAGACUGAGGACUGCAGCUCGCCUUUAUGGCCGGCCUUCGGGCACGUUCGAGCUUAGGAUGUUGACAUAAUGGCUUUA